rnacentral:misc_RNA from 1 species
AGGUGAACCUGCGGAAGGAUCAUUACCGAAUGAGCUGCGCAUCAGUGCGCACCUUCUUGUAGUAGACCGUUCAAUAGUCUGUCAUCAGAAUUCGAUGGGAAAUCUCGGAUGCUGUUGUGGCAGGCCUUUGGUCUCCUAUGUCUUCUUUUUUUCACCACACAAAACCUGUCAUCGUAUGGUGUUGCACUUUGAACACAUAUAAUAUAACUUUCAACAACGGAUCUCUUGGCUCUCG